ACUCUUCAACCCACCAGUUUCUAGUGAACUGUUGUGGUGUUUGGAUUUUGAAUGUUGCUGAUCUGAUCAGCUCGUUCGUAAUAUAUUAGCAUCUCUAAUUCGAAUUCGGAUUGACUCAGUGUAAUAGACUAUUCGCUGAGGACACUAUUAAUUUAGUGGCCGUACUAGAACCAGUAGAAGCUUCAAACUACUUUAGUCAACUUUGA
rnacentral:misc_RNA from 1 species